UACGGAGGGGGUUAGCGUUGUUCGGAAUUACUGGGCGUAAAGCGCGCGUAGGCGGACUAUUAAGUCAGGGGUGAAAUCCCGGGGCUCAACCCCGGAACUGCCUCCAAAACUCCUGGUCUUGAGUUCGAGAGAGGUGAGUGGAAUUCCGAGUGUAGAGGUGAAAUUCGUAGAUAUUCGGAGGAACACCAGUGGCGAAGGCGGCUCACUGGCUCGAUACUGACGCUGAGGUGCGAAAGUGUGGGGAGCAAACAGGAUUAGAUACCCGUGUAGUCC
rnacentral:rRNA from 1 species